UACGAAGGGGGUUAGCGUUGCUCGGAAUCACUGGGCGUAAAGGGUGCGUAGGCGGGUCUUUAAGUCAGGGGUGGAAUCCUGGAGCUCAACUCCAGAACUGCCUUUGAUACUGAAGAUCUUGAGUUCGGGAGAGGUGAGUGGAACUGCGAGUGUAGAGGUGAAAUUCGUAGAUAUUCGCAAGAACACCAGUGGCGAAGGCGGCUCACUGGCCCGAUACUGACGCUGAGGCACGAAAGCGUGGGGAGCAAACAGG
rnacentral:rRNA from 1 species